rnacentral:rRNA from 1 species
UACGGAGGGUGCAAGCGUUAUCCGGAUUCACUGGGUUUAAAGGGUGCGUAGGUGGGUUUGUAAGUCAGUGGUGAAAUCUCCGUGCUUAACAUGGAAACUGCCAUUGAUACUAUAGAUCUUGAAUUUUCUGGAGGAUAGCGGAAUAUGUCAUGUAGCGGUGAAAUGCUUAGAUAUGACAUAGAACACCAAUUGCGAAGGCAGCUCGCUACACGAAGAUUGACUCUGAGGCACGAAAGCGUGGGGAUCAAACAGG